rnacentral:rRNA from 1 species
AGCAGCCGCGGUAAUUCCAGCUCCAAUAGCGUAUAUUAAAGUUGUUGCAGUUAAAAAGCUCGUAGUUGAAUUUCGGGGUUCAUCCGUUGGUCGGGCUUUUUUGGUCUGUACUGGCGUGAUGGAUUCCUACCUUCUGAAUAACCAGCAUGUCAUUAAUUUGGUGCGCUGGGGAAGCAGGACUGUUACCUUGAAAAAAUUAGAGUGCUUAAAGCAGGCUAUCGCCUGAAUACAUUAGCAUGGAAUAAUGAAAUAGGACGGCAUGGUUCUAUUUUGUUGGUUUCUAGGAUCACCGUAAUGAUUAAUAGGGAUAGUUGGGGGCAUUAGUAUUCAAUUGUCAGAGGUGAAAUUCUUGGAUUUAUUGAAGACUAACUUCUGCGAAAGCAUUUGCCAAGGAUGUUUUCAUUAAUCAAGAACGAAAGUUAGGGGAUCGAAGACGAUCAGAUACCGUCGUAGUCUUAACCAUAAACUAUACCGACUAGGGAUCGGACGAUGUUAAUUUUUUAAUGACUCGUUCGGCGCCUUACG